rnacentral:rRNA from 1 species
UACGUAGGGUGCGAGCGUUGUCCGGAUUUAUUGGGCGUAAAGGGCUCGUAGGCGGCGUGUCGCGUCGGGAGUGAAAGCCCGUUGCUUAACGGCGGGUUGGCUUUCGGUACGGGCAUGCUGGAGUGCGGCAGGGGAGACUGGAAUUCCUGGUGUAGCGGUGGAAUGCGCAGAUAUCAGGAGGAACACCCGUGGCGAAGGCGGCUCUCUGGGACAGUACUGACACUGAGACGCGAAAGCGUGGGGAGCGAACAGG